rnacentral:misc_RNA from 1 species
GAUGAAGAACGCAGCGAAAUGCGAUAAGUAAUGUGAAUUGCAGAAUUCAGUGAAUCAUCGAAUCUUUGAACGCACCUUGCGCUCCUUGGUAUUCCGAGGAGCAUGCCUGUUUGAGUGUCAUGAAUCUCUCAAACUCUUAGUUUCAUUACUGAGUGUUUGGAUUUGGAGGUCUAUGCUGGCGCAAGUCAGCUCCUCUUAAAUACAUUAGCUUGGGUCUUGCAUGUCUGGAUCCUUGGUGUGAUAAUUAUCUACGCCAUGAUGUCCCUUCAAGCCCUGCUUCUAAUCGUCUGAAUAAGACAAUUUUUUACUUGACAUCUGACCUCAAAUCAGGUAGGACUACCCGCUGAACUUAAGCAUAUCAAUAAGCGGAGGA